AGAGUUUGAUCAUGGCUCAGGACGAACGCUGGCGGCGUGCCUAAUACAUGCAAGUCGAGCGGAUCGAUGGGAGCUUGCUCCCUGAGAUCAGCGGCGGACGGGUGAGUAACACGUGGGUAACCUGCCUGUAAGACUGGGAUAACUCCGGGAAACCGGGGCUAAUACCGGAUAAUUUAGUUCCUCGCAUGAGGAACUGUUGAAAGGUGGCUUUUCGCUACCACUUACAGAUGGACCCGCGGCGCAUUAGCUAGUUGGUGAGGUAACGGCUCACCAAGGCAACGAUGCGUAGCCGACCUGAGAGGGUGAUCGGCCACACUGGGACUGAGACACGGCCCAGACUCCUACGGGAGGCAGCAGUAGGGAAUCUUCCGCAAUGGACGAAAGUCUGACGGAGCAACGCCGCGUGAGUGAAGAAGGUUUUCGGAUCGUAAAACUCUGUUGUUAGGGAAGAACAAGUGCCGUUCGAAUAGGGCGGCACUUUGACGGUACCUAACCAGAAAGCCACGGCUAACUACGUGCCAGCAGCCGCGGUAAUACGUAGGUGGCAAGCGUUGUCCGGAAUUAUUGGGCGUAAAGCGCGCGCAGGUGGUUUCUUAAGUCUGAUGUGAAAGCCCACGGCUCAACCGUGGAGGGUCAUUGGAAACUG
rnacentral:rRNA from 1 species